GACGAACGCUGGCGGCGUGCCUAAUACAUGCAAGUUGAGCGAUGAAGAUUGGUGCUUGCACCAAUUUGAAGAGCAGCGAACGGGUGAGUAACGCGUGGGGAAUCUGCCUUUGAGCGGGGGACAACAUUUGGAAACGAAUGCUAAUACCGCAUAAAAACUUUAACCACAAGUUUUAAGUUUGAAAGAUGCAAUUGCAUCACUCAACGAUGAUCCCGCGUUGUCUUAGCUAGUUGGUGAGGUAAAGGCGCACCAAGGCGAUGAUACAUAGCCGACCUGAGAGGGUGAGCGGCCAACACGGGACCGGGACACGGCCCAAACCCCCUCGGGAAGGAGCCAGAGGGGAACCUCGGGCAUGGGGGGAAGUCCUAACGGAGAACGCCGCGGUGAGUAAGAAGGGUUUCGGGUCCUAAAACCCUUUUUGUUGGGAAGAAAGAUGUGUGGAAGGGACAGCGCACGAAGUGACGGUAACUACUCAGAAAGCCACGGCUAACUACGUG
rnacentral:rRNA from 1 species